AGUUUGAUCCUGGCUCAGGAUGAACGCUAGCUACAGGCUUAACACAUGCAAGUCGAGGGGCAGCAUGAACUUAGCUUGCUAAGUUUGAUGGCGACCGGCGCACGGGUGAGUAACACGUAUCCAACCUUCCGUUUACUCAGGGAUAGCCUUUCGAACGAAAGAUUAAUACCUGAUAGUAUGGUGAGAUUGCAUGAUAACACCAUUAAAGAUUUAUUGGUAAACGAUGGGGAUGCGUUCCAUUAGGUAGUAGGCGGGGUAACGGCCCACCUAGCCUGCGAUGGAUAGGGGUUCUGAGAGGAAGGUCCCCCACAUUGGAACUGAGACACGGUCCAAACUCCUACGGGAGGCAGCAGUGAGGAAUAUUGGUCAAUGGGCGAGAGCCUGAACCAGCCAAGUAGCGUGAAGGAUGAAGGUCCUACGGAUUGUAAACUUCUUUUAUACGGGAAUAAAGUUUCCUACGUGUAGGAUUUUGUAUGUACCGUAUGAAUAAGCAUCGGCUAACUCCGUGCCAGCAGCCGCGGUAAUACGGAGGAUGCGAGCGUUAUCCGGAUUUAUUGGGUUUAAAGGGAGCGCAGACGGGAGAUUAAGUCAGUUGUGAAAGUUUGCGGCUCAACCGUAAAAUUGCAGUUGAUACUGGUUUCCUUGAGUGCAGUUGAGGCAGGCGGAAUUCGUGGUGUAGCGGUGAAAUGCUUAGAUAUCACGAAGAACCCCGAUUGCGAAGGCAGCUUGCUAAACUGUAACUGACGUUCAUGCUCGAAAGUGUGGGUAUCAAACAGGAUUAGAUACCCUGGUAGUCCACACGGUAAACGAUGGAUACUCGCUGUUGGCGAUAUACUGUCAGCGGCCAAGCGAAAGCAUUAAGUAUCCCACCUGGGGAGUACGCCGGCAACGGUGAAACUCAAAUGAAUUGACG
rnacentral:rRNA from 1 species